GUACUCACUUUGGCAGCACAUAUACUAAAACUGGAGUGAUGCAGAGAAGAUUAGCAUGGCCCCUGCACAAGGAUGACAUGCAAAUUUGUGAAGCAUUCCAUAGAAAG
rnacentral:snRNA from 1 species